rnacentral:SRP_RNA from 1 species
CGCCGGGAACUGCGCGGCAGCAGGCCGGUGAACUCCGCCAGGACCGGAAGGUAGCAACGGUAAGUCGAACCUCUGUGCGAUGCAUUCUUCCCGGCGUUC